AGCUUUAAAGUUUUUUUAUAAAAAAUUUUUAUUUGUGGUGUAAAAGAUUAUAAAGUUA
rnacentral:tRNA from 1 species